CCCUUCGGGGUACACGAGUGGCGAACGGGUGAGUAACACGUGGGUGAUCUGCCCUGCACUUCGGGAUAAGCCCGGGAAACUGGGUCUAAUACCGGAUAGUACUGCGCGGUGCAUGCCGUGUGGUGGAAAGAUUUAUCGGUGCAGGAUGGGCCCGCGGCCUAUCAGCUUGUUGGUGGGGUAAUGGCCUACCAAGGCGACGACGGGUAGCCGGCCUGAGAGGGCGACCGGCCACACUGGGACUGAGACACGGCCCAGACUCCUACGGGAGGCAGCAGUGGGGAAUAUUGCACAAUGGGCGCAAGCCUGAUGCAGCGACGCCGCGUGAGGGAUGACGGCCUUCGGGUUGUAAACCUCUUUCAGCAGGGACGAAGCGCAAGUGACGGUACCUGCAGAAGAAGCACCGGCCAACUACGUGCCAGCAGCCGCGGUAAUACGUAGGGUGCAAGCGUUGUCCGGAAUUACUGGGCGUAAAGAGCUCGUAGGCGGUUUGUCGCGUCGUCUGUGAAAACCAGCAGCUCAACUGUUGGCUUGCAGGCGAUACGGGCAGACUUGAGUAUUUCAGGGGAGACUGGAAUUCCUGGUGUAGCGGUGAAAUGCGCAGAUAUCAGGAGGAACACCGGUGGCGAAGGCGGGUCUCUGGGAAAUAACUGACGCUGAGGAGCGAAAGCGUGGGUAGCGAACAGGAUUAGAUACCCUGGUA
rnacentral:rRNA from 2 species